CUGGCGGCGUGCCUAAUACAUGCAAGUCGAGCGAACAGACGAGGAGCUUGCUCCUCUGUACGUUAGCGGCGGACGGGUGAGUAACACGUGGAUAACCUACCUAUAAGACUGGGAUAACUUCGGGAAACCGGAGCUAAUACCGGAUAAUAUAUUGAACCGCAUGGUUCAAUAGUGAAAGACGGUUUUGCUGUCACUUAUAGAUGGAUCCGCGCCGCAUUAGCUAGUUGGUAAGGUAACGGCUUACCAAGGCAACGAUGCGUAGCCGACCUGAGAGGGUGAUCGGCCACACUGGAACUGAGACACGGUCCAGACUCCUACGGGAGGCAGCAGUAGGGAAUCUUCCGCAAUGGGCGAAAGCCUGACGGAGCAACGCCGCGUGAGUGAUGAAGGUCUUCGGAUCGUAAAACUCUGUUAUUAGGGAAGAACAAAUGUGUAAGUAACUAUGCACGUCUUGACGGUACCUAAUCAGAAAGCCACGGCUAACUACGUGCCAGCAGCCGCGGUAAUACGUAGGUGGCAAGU
rnacentral:rRNA from 1 species